rnacentral:tRNA from 1 species
AAGCGACUAGUAUAGAUUUAUUAUAUGUAUUUGCAGAAUACAAGAGACUUCCAAGUGUUGUUUU